rnacentral:rRNA from 1 species
GACGUAGGGGGCGAGCGUUGUCCGGAUUUAUUGGGCGUAAAGCGUGCGUAGGCGGCUGCGCAAGUCGGGUGUGAAACCCCGGGGCUCAACCCCGGAACUGCAUCCGAUACUGCGUGGCUAGAGGUAGGUAGGGGAGAUCGGAAUUCCUGGUGUAGCGGUGGAAUGCGUAGAUAGUCGGGAAGAACACCAGUGGCGAAGGCGUUCGUGCUGGGCCGUUGCUGACACUGAGGCGCGACAGCGUGGGGAGCAAACAGG